rnacentral:rRNA from 1 species
AGCGAACGCUGGCGGCAGGCCUAACACAUGCAAGUCGAACGAAGUCUUCGGACUUAGUGGCGGACGGGUGAGUAACACGUGGGAACGUGCCAUUGGGUUCGGAAUAACUCAGGGAAACUUGUGCUAAUACCGAAUGUGCCCUUCGGGGGAAAGAUUUAUCGCCUUUAGAGCGGCCCGCGUCUGAUUAGCUAGUUGGUGAGGUAAAGGCUCACCAAGGCGACGAUCAGGAGCUGGUCUGAGAGGAUGAUCAGCCACAUUGGGACUGAGACACGGCCCAACCUCCUACGGGAGGCAGCAGUGGGGAAUCUUGCGCAAUGGGCGAAAGCCUGACGCAGCCAUGCCGCGUGAAUGAUGAAGGUCUUAGGAUUGUAAAAUUCUUUCACCGGGGACGAUAAUGACGGUACCCGGAGAAGAAGCCCCGGCUAACUUCGUGCCAGCCGCCGCCGUAA